GAUGAACGCUAGCGGCAGGCUUAACACAUGCAAGUCGAGGGGCAGCACGGGUAGCAAUACCUGGUGGCGACCGGCGCAAGGGUGCGUAACGCGUGAGCAACAUGCCCUAUACAGGGGGAUAAUCCAGGGAAACUUGGUCUAAUAUCCCAUAGUAUUUAGAGGAGGCAUCUUCUAUAAAUUAAAGCUUCGGUGGUAUAGGAUUGGCUCGCGUGACAUUAGCUAGAUGGUGAGGUAACGGCUCACCAUGGCAAUGAUGUCUAGGGGUUCUGAGAGGAACGGCCCCCCACACUGGGACUGAGACACGGCCCAGACUCCUACGGGAGGCAGCAGUGAGGAAUAUUGGACAAUGGAUGGAAAUCUGAUCCAGCCAUGCCGCGUGCAGGAAGACAGCCCUAGUGGGUUAGUAAACUGCUUUUAUAGUGGGAGCAAUAAGGUCUACGUGUAGACUGAUGAGAGUACCAUAUGAAUAAGC
rnacentral:rRNA from 1 species